UACGUAGGGAGCGAGCGUUGUCCGGAUUCACUGGGUGUAAAGGGCGCGCAGGCGGGUUGGCAAGUCAGUGGUGAAAUCCUACAGCUUAACUGUAGAACUGCCAUUGAUACUGCUGAUCUUGAGUAUGGAAGAGAGAGACGGAAUUCCAGGUGUAGUGGUGAAAUACGUAGAUAUCUGGAAGAACACCAGUUGCGAAGGCGGUCUCUUGGUCCAAUACUGACGCUCAGGCGCGAAAGCGUGGGGAGCAAACAGG
rnacentral:rRNA from 1 species